AAAAAAGCAAAAAAAAGCUGGGUGGGCCACUGCUCCCGGCCAGGUCUGUGCCAUCUUUAAGAGCUGUAAUACACCCCAUGAAGGUCUGCAGCUCCAUUGCUGAAGUCAGCGAUACCACGAACCCACCAUCAAGAACCAACUCUGGACACAUGACUUCAGGUGAUCCAUCCUCUUCGGCCUCCCAAAGUGCUGGGAUUACAGGCGUAAGCCACGACGCCUGGCCCAGAGCACAGGUUUUUAGGGCAGUGAAAUCAUUCUGUGUUAUAUUAUAAUGGUGGAUACAUGUCAUUUACAUUUGUCAAAACCCAUAAAAUGUACAACACAAAGAGUGAAACCUAAUGUAAACCAUAAACUUUGGACGACGAUGUGUCAUUGCAGGUCCAUCAAUUGCAACAAAUGCUUCACUCUGGUCAGGAAUGCACCGCUUUGAUGUGGGAAAUAGGGGAUAUGGAUAUUGGGGAGGCUGUGUGUUGGUUGGCGGGGAGGCAAAGGAUGUGUGGAAACUCAGAUUUGCUGUGAACCCAAAACUUCUCUAAAAAAUUAAGAAAAAUCUAAAUAAAUGGAAAUAUUUAAUUUGUUCAUGGAUAUAAAUAUUCAAUAUAGUAAUGUGGCAGUUAACCUAUAAGUAAAUCUGUAAUUCCAAAGCUAUUCCAACAAAACAAACUUACCAGCGUUUUUCAUGGAACUAGACAAACUGAUUCCAGAUCCACGUGGA
rnacentral:lncRNA from 10 species